AUGGACGAGAUGGCGGCGCCGCAGCCGGAGGCGGUGUCGCUCCCGGAGGACGCCGUCCGUGAGAUCCUCGUCCGCGUGGAAGGCACAGCCGCUCUCUUCCGCUGCGCCGUGACGUGCAAGAGCUGGAGCCGCCUCGUAGCCGACGCCUCCUUCCUUCGUCGUCGCUGGCCGGAUGAUCAUGGGGCGAGCCGCUUCCUCGCCAGGUUCUUGGCCCCUAAACGGCUUGACCGUACCGACCCCAACUUCCGGACAGGGGAGCCCAUGUUUGCGACGUUUCUUGUCCCGACGCCACGGUCGGUGUUCACUCGCCGCUCCCUCGGCUCCUUUUUCCCCGACGCCGACACGUGCCUCCUUGACGGCAUGGAGCCGCUCACUGCGCGCCACGGCCUCCUUCUCGUGCGCCUUUUCCCGGACGUAUCUGCUGGCUAUAAGCACGACAAGUCUGUCGUUAAUCUGGUUGUGUGCAAUCUGCUCACCCGCGUGUGUGAAGUGCUUCCCCCACUAUGUGGACAUUUGAACUUCACCAAAAGCGGCUACGCCAUCCUAACUAGUGCAGAAUGCUCGUCGAGUGCAGAGCAACAGUCUUUGCAAUCGACUUUCUUUAAAGUGUUAAUCAUCGGCACGAUGAAAUUCGGCCCGCCCAGUCUCUAUACGUUCUCAUCCAGCGACUCAAGGUGGAGUAAGCCUAUAAAACUAACUUUUGACACUGCUGGCGGGAUUCGUGACUCUAAGCAUCCCGACACCAUUGUGUCUCGCGGUAAGGUGCAUUGGAGCGUCCGGAACUGGUACCCUGACUACUCUCUUGACAUGGACAUGAAGACGUUUCACAUCUCUCAGACAAUGAUCAUGGACAGAACAACUUACUCGGAAACCAACAAAGACCCACAACUUGCGGUCACGGCAGAUGGGAUGCCCUUGGUGUUACUUCUGUCUAGACCAGGCCUCGAGCUAAAGAUCUGCACGCGGCAAGACGAAAAGAAGAGUGAUGAUGGUGCUAUUGUCAAGGCCGGGUGGCUCACCACGCGUACUGUCGAGUUGAAACCACCUAGGCAGAUUAAAAGAAGGCCAGAGAAAAUAUACAUGAGAUUGUUAGGAGAGAAGAGUGGCACGAUGCUACUCAAGGAUAGCCAGAGGCAGAUUUACAUUGCUGACCUUGAGACAGGAGUGAUGGAGCAGUUUGAGUUGCCUGAUGGUUUUGAUGGGCUUAACCGUCAGAAGGUCGUGUUGUUGGAGAUGGACUGGCCGGCGCUAUUCAUUUCCUGGCUUGGCAAGUGGUAG
rnacentral:rRNA from 1 species